rnacentral:rRNA from 1 species
UAGUCCACGCCCUAAACGAUGCUAACUCGAUAUUUGGACUUCGCGUCUGAGUGUCCAAGGGAAACCGAUAAGUUAGCCACCUGGGGAGUACGUUCGCAAGAAUGAAACUCAAAGGAAUUGACGGGGUCCGCACAAGCGGUGGAGCAUGUGGUUUAAUUCGAUGAUACGCGAGGAACCUUACCUAGGCUCUAAUGUGAUCGCAAUCUGGUGAAAGCCGGAGUUCCUUCGGGACGAGAAACAAGGUGCUGCAUGGUUGUCGUCAGCUCGUGCCGUGAGGUGUUGGGUUAAGUCCCGCAACGAGCGCAACCCUUAUUUUCAGUUGCCAGCAUGUAAAGAUGGGGACUCUGGAAAGACUGCCGGCGUAAGCCGCGAGGAAGGUGGGGAUGACGUCAAAUCAUCAUGGGCCUUUAUGCCUAGGGGCGACACACGUGCUACAAUGGGUCAGCACAGAGAGUUGCGAGACUGCGAAGUUUAGCUAAUCUCAGAAAGCU